UUUAGGGUGAGAGGAGAUGAAAUUGUUAAAUCUAAUUCUGGUUACAAAUGUAUUAUUGACUUACCCGAUUAAUGUGAUUCACCCUUUCCUCUGUGAAUAGGCACAGUGUGAAUCUCAUAGAAUUCCCUCCUUUGACCUUGAGACUGGAGUAUGAAAGAUUGCAUUGUCUCUUUGUGCAGUUACCUUUUCUUCCUCCUUGAAGAGUUGAACAGUCUGCCCAUGUGUAUGUAUCAAGUGUUUUUGUUUUCUGAAGAAGUAGCUUGGGGGGCUCAAGUCACUUGGUUUUCCAAAGUUUGUUUUUUCCACUUUUUCUGCAUAUUCACUAUUGGCCAUAACAUCUUUGAAAUUCAUCACACCCUAGAAGGCGAAAGUGUCAUGACUAAGAAAAACUUAUGACUCGAGAUAUUUGAGACACAGUAUGAAUGUUUACAGAAUCUGUACCAAAUUCAGUUUACACAUACAAAAGAACUUUGAAAUUGAAUGAUAUUUUUCUUCUUUUAUCUAGAUGAAAAACUGAAUUUUGCCUAGAUUUGAUCCAAAAUUUUCUCUACGAGUACCAUAGGAGCAGUCUUGCUCUCCUCCAUAGUCUGAUGGUCAAGAUCCUCAGUCUCAGUAAAGUUAAGAACCAGUGUCAUCAAGCUACAAGAAAAUACAGGUAUCCUAUGAAAGGGAAUUGUGUGUAAAGGCCAUUUGAGAAACAGCAGCAUUUCAUGAAAAGAAGCAGUGGGAACAAUUACUCUAACAUCAGCUGAUGUAUCUUCUGUGGCUAGUCCAGCACUCAGUUAUUUCCUGUAAAAAAUCACCAUUUAGGCUUCUCAUGAACCUAGUAAAGAGGCAGAAUUGUUAAGAAUAGAGUGGUUCAGCUCCCUUUCUUUCACUAUUGCUUAUAGAAGGUUCACAGAUAAUUAAUAGUAAUUCACAAAAUUUUACAUAGCUAUAAGGAUAAAUGUAAUACACAUAGUUUGAUUUCUCAAGUCAACUGUCCUGUCACUGCCAAGGGUUCCUUAUCACUGAAUGCUGUGACAAAUAUGUUGUGAAUCUCCUUAAAAAUUUUGAUUUUUUUUUUUCCCCCAAAAGCGAUUUUCUUUCUGAGCAACUGACAUCACAAUUUGUGGAUGCCCCUGCCUGGAAGCAUUCAAGUCCAAGCUGAAUGGGCAUGUGAAUAAUCUGGUCUAGAGGGAGGUGUCUCUGCCUAUAGCAGGGGCUUGGAACUAAAUCUUAAAGGUCCCUUCCAACCCAAGCCAUUCUAUUAAUCUAUGAAGUAAAUUAAAAUUUAGUAACAGACAGUGGACUUCCAGCCUUACUAAGCUUUUUCUUAAUUCAAGAACUAGAUACAAAAUAAACAGUAACAAUUCAAUUCCUAUCCA
rnacentral:lncRNA from 1 species